UGUCUGUCUGUCUGUCUGUCUGUCUGUCUGUCUGUCUGUCUGUCUGUCUGUCUGUCUCUGUUUUUGACCCCCCCCAAAAAAUACAAUCACUUCACCAGGAUUGUCUGUCUGUCUGUCUGUCUGUCUGUCUGUCUGUCUGUCUGUCUGUCUGUCUGUCUCUGUUUUUGACCCCCCCCAAAAAAUACAAUCACUUCACCAGGAUUGUCUGUCUGUCUGUCUGUCUGUCUGUCUGUCUGUCUGUCUGUCUGUCUGUCUGUCUGUCUGUGUUUUUGACCCCCCCAAAAAAUACAAUCACUUCACCAGGAUUGUCUGUCUGUCUGUCUGUCUGUCUGUCUGUCUGUCUGUCUGUCUGUCUGUCUGUCUGUCUGUCUCUGUUUUUGACCCCCCCCAAAAAAUACAAUCACUUCACCAGGAUUGUCUGUCUGUCUGUGAAUUUUACCCACAGCCCUCAAACUUGGAAGAGUGGGUUCGGGAACCACCCGCGGGCACCCGGCCUAGAGUGCACAGUGUGUGUCUCGGGCCCCGACCUCUGACUUCCAUACGACUCUGGUUUCUCUUCAUUACGCACAAGCCUUUCGCCUUUUACUAAAGACUUCCGUGGAGAGGAACACUUACGAGUUCAACAUAUUUUUGGAAGGGCUUUGCUUCUGGCAGAGCCCGGUAUCUUGUUUCAAGAGAAAUUGACAGAGAUGACGCCGAGACUUUUUGCUCAGGCGUUUGACUUGAAGCCGGCUGACCGACCGACCGACCGGCGUAUUUUUCCACUCAAAGUAGUCGCUCGGGCAAUUGAGUUCAAGCCCGACGACGACUGACGUGUUUUCCGGGCUUUGAACAAAUAGUCGCACUAGGCUUAAAGAGCUAGUGACUUAAAGACGCAUUAGCGACUUGUUAAAAAAAACACCCGCCUGUCACCAGGGAAGCGUCGGGUGGGGAGGAGACAACUUUUGCCAAACCGCUGAGGUCUGCCGAGACCCCCGGGGGCCCGGCGGGUGCAGGGGUCAAUUUGUGGGUUAUCGC
rnacentral:lncRNA from 1 species